UACGUAGGGUGCAAGCGUUUAAUCGGAAUUACUGGGCGUAAAGCGUGCGCAGGCGGUUAUAUAAGACAGUUGUGAAAUCCCCGGGCUCAACCUGGGAAUUGCAUCUGUGACUGUAUAGCUAGAGUACGGUAGAGGGGGAUGGAAUUCCGCGUGUAGCAGUGAAAUGCGUAGAUAUGCGGAGGAACACCGAUGGCGAAGGCAAUCCCCUGGACCUGUACUGACGCUCAUGCACAAAAAGCGUGGGGAGCAAACAGG
rnacentral:rRNA from 1 species